rnacentral:rRNA from 1 species
UACGUAGGGUGCAAGCGUUGUCCGGAAUUAUUGGGCGUAAAGAGCUCGUAGGCGGUCUGUCGCGUCUGGUGUGAAAAUCCAGGGCUUAACCCUGGACCUGCAUCGGGUACGGGCAGACUAGAGUGCGGUAGGGGAGAUCGGAAUUCCUGGUGUAGCGGUGAAAUGCGCAGAUAUCGGGAGGAACACCAGUGGCGAAGGCGGUUGCCUGGGGCUUUGCUGACGCUGAUGCGCGAAAGCGUGGGGAGCGAUCCGG